UGCAACAGAUGGCGCUAGUGAGCAGGAGUUUUUCACUUUUAAAAUGUAUGGAGAAAAUAAUAAAAAUUCGUUUUUUGACUAAUUAAACAUUUUAUCAGAAAAAAUAUUUGGUACAGGUUGUAGGCCAUUAUGAUAGCAAUCUACUGUACCAAAUAUUUUUUAUCAAAAUUUCGAAAUAUUCAAAAUAUUUGGAAAAAUGUUCAAAUUUCCAUACAUUAUUUCCACCGAUAACUUCUGCACACUUCUGCCUCGAUAUUGGUUGAUCUUCGUUUUCCUAUACAUGGCAAAGCGAAUAUACAUGGAUUCGUAUUUACCCUUAUUUACCUAUCUGUCAAUUCGUAAGCAAAAAAAUAAAAAAAAAGUUCGAAGCUGUUUGGAGUUAGAAGCGGCAAAGAGGAAGCAAAAAUCUGCGGUGUAAUAGCUUUCCCCACCACCGCAGCAGUCAGCAAGCAGCCGUCCUCCGGGUGAAAAAUAGCAGCGACGAGUGGCUCGGCAGCCAAGAUGGUGGACAUUCAUCGAGGAACCACACGCCAGCCGGCGGAAGAUCAUUCUCAAAUCGGAAACGGAUCGAGCAUGGCCUGUUCAAGUUGAUUGCCGGUUCCAUGGUGCUGAUGCAGUUUGGGAAGCUGUUCGUGAUGGAGGACUGAAGGACCAGUCGUGGAAGGUGAUUUUCCUAGUGACGUACAUUUUUGGCGAUGUCAUCAAGAUCUCAUCUCGCUGGAGGUGGUGUGUCACGAGAACACUCAUAAUCUGGCCUUCGUUGGACACUAUCUACAUGUUCCGGAUUAAAAACAUGCUCCUACUACGGAUUCGAAACUCUUGUUACGACCCUUUGAACUGGAUUACUACAAUGAGUAUCACGAUUUCCCGGCCGUUCUCGGCUGCUACCUCCCCGGAAUUAUAAGGAUCGCACCGGAAGAUACCAUCGCGCAGUUUACCAGCUGGAUCAGGGUGUAGUACGACUUUACCACGGAUCCGGCCAUCGGACCGAUCGUACGCCCGGAUCAAACGGGGCGGGGGGACUGGAUUUCUGAAACGCUUCUUCACCAGGGGACUUGAGGCGCGUCGAGGUAAGUCAAUUUAGAUUGAUAAACUUCGUUUCCCAUAACUGCCAUUAUCGGAUUCGGCGGGUGGAAUCCGACCAGUGAUUUGUUUGUC